rnacentral:rRNA from 1 species
GAUGAACGCUGGCGGCGUGCUUAAUACAUGCAAGUCGAACGGAAAGGCCCUGCUCUUGCGGGGUGCUCGUGUGGCGCACGGGUGAGUAUCACGCGAGUAACCUGUCCUUGUCUUUGGGAUAUAUCUUGGAAACUGGGGCUCAUACAGGAUAGGAGCUCCUGCUGCACGGUGGUGGUUGGAAAGUUUCGGCGGUUCGGGCUGGACUCGCGGCUUAUCAGCUUGAUAGUGAAGUAGUGGCUUACCAAGGCUAUGACGGGUAGGCGGCCUGAGAGGGUGACCGGCCACAAGGGGACUGAGGUACGGAGCAGUAGGGUACGGGAAGCAACGGGGGAGAGUAUGGCGCAAUAACGCGGAGUGAGAGACGACGACCCCGCGAGCGUAAAAACGGGCUUCUAGGGAAAAACCGCUGUCGACGGUAACGAGGCCGGAGUGACGGUAAUUAAUAAGAAAGCAACGGCUAACUACGUG